rnacentral:rRNA from 1 species
UACGUAGGGUGCGAGCGUUGUCCGGAUUUACUGGGCGUAAAGAGCUCGUAGGCGGUUUGUCACGUCGUCUGUGAAAACCCGAGGCUUAACCUCGGGCCUGCAGGCGAUACGGGCAGACUUGAGUACUGCAGGGGAGACUGGAAUUCCUGGUGUAGCAGUGAAAUGCGUAGAGAUCAGAAGGAAUACCGAUGGCGAAGGCAGGUCUCUGGGCUGAUACUGACGCUCAUGCACGAAAGCGUGGGGAGCAAACAGG